AGAAUCGACCCGUUUCCACUAACUUCUCCGGACAUUUUGUAGCAACAUUGUUCACUUUUGAUCGAAACUCGUUUUCUUGCAAAUCGCUCCUGGAUUCCUCUAAAGAAGACCAGCGACACUUUGAGUCGGAUAUGAUUUUUUUCUUCUUUAUGUCUUAGUUUUGAACUUUCUGCUCGUUUUGCUUCAAAUAAUCCUCCACCAGCUUCGGUGUUUUGCCUCAACACCACCUUCCUCUGGCCUCCACCUUCAGCUUCUUAUCUCAUUUUGUCGCACAGCUGAUUGAGAGAAACUCGUGUUUCUAUUUCUCUUCACGGAGUCGUUGCUUCUAUUCUCGUUAUCUGAUCUGAACCAACUAGUCCAGCUGGUUCCACCCAGGUCGCCUCCAUUUACCCUCCGAGAGAAGCGACCCCACCCUUUAGUUCACCUCCACCCUUUAGUUCACCUCCACCCUUUAGUUCACCUCCACCCUUCAUCCGCAACGCACAAUCCGCCAGAGAAGCGUCCUCAAGCGGAUCUGGAUCCAUAAAAACUCUUUUCUUUCACUCUUUUGUGUUGUUUUUUUUGUUUCCUUUUGUUUCCUCGUGAGUCAAACCGGAGAAACAGGAAGUGAAACGUUCUUCACUUCCUGGUUUCAUCGUCCAGCUUCCAUUCUGCACAAUGAGGUCGUGCGUCGUUCUUCUCUUUGCUUCUCUGCUCACAUCAUGUGAAGCACAAGGAACCAUUGUGACUCCUGUGUUUGUGCUGAAGGGACGUGAUCUGCUCCUCAAGCUUCAUGCUGAUCCUCCUGAGGGGGUUUUAUUUGUUGACUGGAAAAUCAAUAAAACAGUCACUUUAGUAAGAAUUCAACUUAAUGGAGAACAAACUGUCGAUCCACGUUUCACUGGAAGGGUUCAGUUUGGUGAGAAUAAAUUCUCUGUGAUAUUGAAGAAUGUACAAGAGGUCGACAGUGGAGUUUAUUCUGCUGUAGCAGGAACACCUACAGAAGACAAACUAGUAGCUGAAUACAAGGUCACAGUUCAAGGACCAGCGUCUCCAGUUGAACUGAUCGUGGACCGAGUGGACUCCAGCAGCUCAGAGUCAUGUGACCUCCAUGUGACCUGCAGGACUCACAACGCUCACAUCAGCAGCACUUUCAGAUGUUCUAAACGAGUCUGCAGCCAAACGGGAGGAGAGCAACCAGAGGUCACGACCUCUGGGGCUUCUCUCCAGGUCUACGUGUUGAACAACGUGAUCAUCUGUAACCAUAACAACCAGGUUCACAGGACCCACGACUUCAAUAAUGCUGAACAACAUUGCUACCCAAGUACUGGUAAGAAAGAGGAGACAACUUCAUGAUAAUAAUGCAGCCUCUGCCCCUUUAACAAAACACACCUUAAGGUCGGCGCAUUCUUCUGCGUCGUUGCGUCGACGCACUCGUUUUAAUUCAUGAAUGCAUGAUCUAAAAGUCCUGCGUGUGUUGCAGAGCAAUUCACCGCCAGAACAACAGGUGGAGUAAUGUGGUUUUGUUUAAGACGACUUAGAGAGUCACGUCUAUUUAUUUGUUUGUUUAUUUAUUUAUCAUAGACUUUAUUGCCCCGUGCAUCCACACUGC